AUUGAACGCUGGCGGCAUGCCUUACACAUGCAAGUCGAACGGUAACAGGUCUUCGGAUGCUGACGAGUGGCGAACGGGUGAGUAAUACAUCGGAACGUGCCCGAGAGUGGGGGAUAACGAAGCGAAAGCUUUGCUAAUACCGCAUACGAUCUCAGGAUGAAAGCAGGGGACCGCAAGGCCUUGCGCUCACGGAGCGGCCGAUGGCAGAUUAGGUAGUUGGUGGGAUAAAAGCUUACCAAGCCGACGAUCUGUAGCUGGUCUGAGAGGACGACCAGCCACACUGGGACUGAGACACGGCCCAGACUCCUACGGGAGGCAGCAGUGGGGAAUUUUGGACAAUGGGCGCAAGCCUGAUCCAGCCAUGCCGCGUGCAGGAUGAAGGCCUUCGGGUUGUAAACUGCUUUUGUACGGAACGAAAAGACUCUGGUUAAUACCUGGGGUCCAUGACGGUACCGUAAGAAUAAGCACCGGCUAACUACGU
rnacentral:rRNA from 1 species